AGGUUUCUAUUACCUUACGAUCACAACACCAACCACUAGCUUCUAAGGUUUCUAUUUACCUUAGCUCAAGCCUCUAUCUCUAGCUCAUAAGGGUUCCUCUACCCUAUCAUAGCUAACCACCCGACUCGGCUUCGAAUCAAUCAUCUGCGGAUAGUCCGCGCACUGGCUGCUCACAGCCUACCGCACUCUCUCUAACUCAGCCUCCUAGCGGCGAAAUCGUCGCACACGCUGAACACGGCUCGAGUCGCAUGACUUGACC
rnacentral:lncRNA from 1 species